UGGAUGUGGAGUAUUCUGUAGGCU
rnacentral:piRNA from 1 species